AUGAAGGAGGAGAAAAUGGAGAGUCGGCCGGGGCACGGACCACAGCGGCGCAUGCCUCCUCUGUAUCUCCUUUCUUUCUUCCCCAACUCCUUCUCUCUUGCACGUCGCCGUCUUGCUGGCCACGCAGUAAAGAAAUCGAGGAAGAGGCGGGAGUCGGGUCAAUCGAUCUGUCGCACGACGGAUGCUGCACUCCCUUUUCCAUCUAGCAACGGGCCGCAGAGGGAGGUGGAAGAGGAGCCACAACCUCCGAGCAGGAUGCUGCCGCCUAACACGCAUCUGACCAUGAGCUGGAGGAUAAGGUUGGAGAUUUGGUAUCGGAUGCUGCUCCAAGAAUGA
rnacentral:rRNA from 1 species